rnacentral:rRNA from 1 species
UACGUAGGGUGCAAGCGUUGUCCGGAAUUAUUGGGUGUAAAGAGCUCGUAGGCGGUCUGUCGCGUCGGCUGUGAAACUCGGGCUCAACUCCGAGCUUGCAGUCGAUACGGGCAGGCUAGAGUUCGGCAGGGGAGACUGGAAUUCCUGGUGUAGCGGUGAAAUGCGCAGAUAUCAGGAGGAACACCGGUGGCGAAGGCGGGUCUCUGGGCCGAUACUGACGCUGAGGCGCGAAAGCGUGGGGAGCAAACAGG